UGGGGGAUAUUGCACAAUGGGGGAAACCCUGAUGCAGCGACGCCGCGUGAGGGAAGACGGUCCUCUGGAUUGUAAACCUCUGUCUUCGGGGACGAAACGAGACGGUACCCGAGGAGGAAGCCACGGCUAACUACGUGCCAGCAGCCGCGGUAAUACGUAGGUGGCAAGCGUUGUCCGGAAUUACUGGGUGUAAAGGGAGCGUAGGCGGGCAGGCAAGUCAGGCGUGAAAGAUAUCGGCUCAACCGGUAGCUGCGCUUGAAACUGCAGGUCUUGAGUGAAGUAGAGGUUGGCGGAAUUCCUAGUGUAGCGGUGAAAUGCGUAGAUAUUAGGAGGAACACCAGUGGCGAAGGCGGCCAACUGGGCUUUUACUGACGCUGAGGCUCGAAAGUGUGGGGAGC
rnacentral:rRNA from 1 species